rnacentral:lncRNA from 1 species
AUCUCUGACCCCAUAGCUGUUUAGCCAAAUGGAAAUGACCAGGGGCCAACUUGCUUUAAAUCACAAAUGGUUUAAAGCAGGGUUUUCAUCUCCCCCCCCAAAAAAAAACCAUGCUCCGACAGACAGAUCUGUGGUGCUGUCUUUUAGGCCAGUAGCAAACCUUCCAUUACAAAGACAUCCACUCUUCAAUCCAGGGUUAUUCCUCUCCAUUACUAAUAGCUAUUUGUUUGAUACAGGAACUUGGGCUAAAAUUGAUUGUAUAUGAACUGCAGAAGUCCUAAUACACUGCAUUAUUUUGUACCUGUAAGUAUGGUCAGAUUUGGAGAAAAUGAUUGUAUUGUAAAUUAAGGCUAAAUUUGUAUCCAUUUUAAUUGUUUAAAGUUAACAAAAUGUAAAAGACCAGCUUGUACAAAAAAACGAAACAAUAGAGGUUUUCAGGUUUCCGCCGUUGCAAGUUGCACUUGACCAGGUUACAUUUUCCCGAUUUAACCACUUUUUUAAAUUGAAUGCAUUUCAGAGGCAGGUUUCUGGCUAUUUUCUCACAUCUGUCUUUGGAAUUUGCAGUAAAACAUAAAACGUGCCUCCCUGAUUCUGUUCUCUAAUGCACUGCCAGUGCUAUCAGUGAACACCUGAACAGCUUCCUAUUUUUCUCAAAUUGAAAACACUGUUAGAAGCUUUUUUUUUUUUUGUAUUAGCUAUCAAAAACAUAUUAUUUCCUUGUCUCACUUAGUUAAUAUUUUAGAGUAAUCGGGUAAAGUGGCUGUUUUUGCUGGGCUUUUUUUUCUUCCAGCUUAAACUAUAAGCCGCUCUUGUCUCUUAACGUGUUUAGAUCGGUUUUAUCAUGUCUUUUGUUUUGUCUUUUCGAGGAACCCGAUCAUGCAGAGGUCCAUACUUGGAAGCCUCCCCCUCUUCCUCAGUCUAGUGUAAAAUAGUUGUAUCUAGAGCCACUGUCUCCAACUCAGGCAAUUCUCUUUAAAUUUUGUUUCAUUUUUGAGGUGUUUUCGUAUGUCUACUGCUAGACCACAGUGAUAUAUUAUAUUGUCUCUAGUGCCAUUUGAUGCAUUCUACUUCAAGACCAAUUUGUGUGUUUUGUUGUGCUCUCCUGAAUUCAGUUUUUUUUAUUCAAUGGAUUGACAAGCACUUAUUGUAGAUCACUAGUGCAGCUACUCAUGUGGCUUUUUUUAAAAUUAUACUUUUGCUGUUUUGCAAAAGCACAUUUUUUUUAAUGAAUUUUACCAAGCAGGAGGAAAACGGUGGAAAGGGUUCCGUCUUGGUCCUUUUGUUGUCCCUUUCAAUUUUCCGCCAUCCUUUUUUGUUUUUCAUCAAAAUCAAUGUAUCUGGUUAAUUAUAUUAGAUUGCUGAUGGUGUUGUAGCGAAAAGAGAUUUUUUGUAAAUUGUGAAUAAAUUGUAUCACGUUUCCUUUCAUCAAUUGUUUGUGUAUCAUGACAAAUGUAUGAUUGGUUUGUCUGUCUUUGCUCAGUUUUUCUUUUGUAAUUCUCAAACCAAAUUUAUUUUUGUGAUAAUGUUGGGACACUGAAUUAUAGAUUUAUAUGGUUGCUAACUUUUGAUUUAAGAGAACAUGAUUUGAACAGUAUUUUAAACAAUUGACAAACAUCCUAGAGAAAACAAAGUCACAGAUAAAGAUUUGUCAUUGUCACCAAAUGAUAUUCUCCAACUUUUACCUUUUAGCUUUAUAGAACCUUGUUAUCGGAUGUGGGUUCUGGUUAGGUAGGGGAUGUCGGGUAGUAGCCAAUGUUGAAGAGAUGGCUGGUGUAAAAGAGUCUUUGCUUGUAGAUGUGCAGCAUUUUGAGGGCCUACUGAUUUAGCCAACAUUUUAUGACCAUUUGACCCAUACAUUAUUCCCCUGCUGUUUGAUCUGUUGGCAGACCUUAGACUAGAGGGUGGGAAUGGAGGUGUUUGGCCGGCACUAGUCACGGCCUAGUUUAUUAACAUAAUUUAGGCCCAACUAAUCCCUGGCACUGUAGGUAUCUUGCCUUCACCUCUGUUACGUUUGAUAACUGGUGCAUCUAUGUCCACCACAGUCCUAGUUCAUAGGCAAAAUAUGACUUUGAUGUGACUGUCAGAUAAUUGGCACUCAGUCUUUAUGUAUAGUUUACCCAAACUUGGCAAUAAUAAUUAAAACAUUCUACUUUUUUGAAUUUCUUGUUUUGUAAUGCUUUGGCGGAAUUUACAAUUACCUGUCUUUUCCAUUUGAAUCUGUCUCCUUUUCAUGGACCUUUCUCAAUCUGUUUACUGUUUUCUCUUAAGUAGAAGUAGUAAUGCAAUGGUUAGGUUUGUGGCCAGCUGAAAGUUAAGUGUAUAGAGGUAAUGUGUCACUAUGUAAUGCACUGGACCAACUCUUGUUUACCAGUUAUGGAAUACCAGCAACACACUUGCACAAUGUUCUAAAGAGUUAUGUAUUUGAAAAAAAAUAUAGAUAUAUAAAACAUGGCAGCUGUUUUUAAUGUAAUAUUAGGACAUGUACAGCAACCUAAUGGUAAACCAUGGUCUUCAUUAUUUCACUGUUAUCCUCUAGUCUUGGUUCUCUUGAGUAGUUGUGUUUAUACCAGGGUCAGCUUGUUUCCUUUACACCUCUGUAUUUUUUCCUACUUCUGGUUGACUAUAAAAUUCUAUAUCUGUUUG